UACGGGGGGGGGCAAGCGUUGUUCGGAAUUACUGGGCGUAAAGGGCUCGUAGGCGGCCAACUAAGUCAGACGUGAAAUCCCCAGGCUCAACCUGGGAACUGCGUCUGAUACUGGAUGGCUUGAAUCCGGGAGAGGGAUGCAGAAUUCCAGGUGUAGAGGUGAAAUUCGUAGAUAUCGAGAGGAACACCGGUGGCGAAGGCGGCCUUCUGGACGAUUACUGACGCUGAGACGCGAAAGCGUGGGGAGCGAACAGG
rnacentral:rRNA from 1 species